rnacentral:rRNA from 1 species
AGAAUCAACGCUGGCGGCGUGCCUAACACAUGCAAGUCGCACGAGAAAGGGGAGCAAUCCCUGAGUACAGUGGCGCACGGGUGAGUAACACGUGAAUCAUCUACCUCCGAGUGGGAAUAACUGAGAGAAAUCUUAGCUAAUACCGCAUAACACUUACGAGUCAAAGCAGCAAUGCGCUUGGAGAGGAGUUCGCGGCAGAUUAGUUAGUUGGCGGGUAAUGGCCCACCAAGACGAUGAUCUGUA